UACAGAGGGUGCGAGCGUUGUCCGGAAUCACUGGGCGUAAAGGGCGCGUAGGCGGCCGAUCAAGUCGGGGGUGAAAGCCUGUGGCUCAACCACAGAAUUGCCUUCGAUACUGUUUGGCUUGAGACCGGAAGAGGUUAGUGGAACUGCGAGUGUAGAGGUGAAAUUCGUAGAUAUUCGCAAGAACACCAGUGGCGAAGGCGGCUUACUGGUCCGGUUCUGACGCUGAGGCGGCGAAAAGCGUGGGGAGCAAACAGG
rnacentral:rRNA from 1 species